UACGAAGGGAGCUAGCGUUGUUCGGAAUCACUGGGCGUAAAGCGCACGUAGGCGGAUGUGUCAGUCAGGGGUGAAACUCCGGAGCUCAACUUCGGAACUGCCUUUGAUACAGCACGUCUUGAGUCCGGAAGAGGUGGGUGGAAUUCCUAGUGUAGAGGUGAAAUUCGUAGAUAUUAGGAAGAACACGGUGGCGAAGGCGGCCCACUGGUCCGGUACUGACGCUAAGGUGCGAAAGCGUGGGGAGCAAACAGGG
rnacentral:rRNA from 1 species